rnacentral:rRNA from 1 species
UACAGAGGUCUCAAGCGUUGUUCGGAUUCAUUGGGCGUAAAGGGUGCGUAGGUGGCGCUGUAAGUCGGGUGUGAAAUUUCGGAGCUUAACUCCGAAACUGCAUUCGAUACUGCGGUGCUUGAGGACUGGAGAGGAGACUGGAAUUCAUGGUGUAGCAGUGAAAUGCGUAGAGAUCAUGAGGAAGACCAGUGGCGAAGGCGGGU